rnacentral:lncRNA from 1 species
CACUGCCAUUUAGGAGUUAAAUCACUUUGUUUCUGUUUAUGCAGCCCUAGCCACACCUCCCCUGGCUAUGCUUGACAGAGCCUGCAUGAAAAAAAAAACUGGUUUCACUUUCAAACAGAUGGAAUUUACCUUAAAUAAUUGUAUCUCAAUCUCUAAAUUGAACUUUAAUCACAUACAGGGGGCUCUUGCAGGGUCUAGCAGGCUAUUAACAUAGCAGGGGAUAAGAAAAUCUUAAUUAAACAGAACUUGCAAUAAAGAAAGCCUAAAUAGGGCUCUCUUUACAGGAAGUGUUUAGGGAAGGCUGUGCAAGUCACAUGCAGGGAGGUGUGACUAGGGUUCACAAACAAAGGCAUUUAACUC